UGGAUUUAGCAUCAAAAAUCCGUUUGUUUCUUUCUUCCCAGAUAAGAUAUACAGUGAUUCCCAAGGACACCCUACGCAUCCGUGAGACAAGAUUGGACCUCUUGGGAUAAAGCCCCCGAAGUGCACUGGAGAUGGACGACAUCCUCCUGCCAAUGUGAAGCCAAACUUUUAUCCUGUCCCACAACCUGCCCGUCCAGUUACAUGCGAAGAACAAAUGAGCAUGGGACUUGGCUUCACUCCGAC
rnacentral:lncRNA from 1 species